UUUAUGUGAUCGCAAGAUUUUCAAGUUGAAAGAAAAAAUUUAUCGUACAGCUAUACGAUCGGCCAUGUUACAUGGUAGUGAGUGUUGAGCAAUGAAGGAGCUGUGUGUGUCUAAGAUGAGAGUUAUGGAUAUGAGAAUGCUAAGGUAGAUGAGUGGCCAUACUAAACUAGAAAAAGUCCAUAAUGAGAGUAUUAGACAAAAGGCAGGAGUUGUGCCAAUUGAAGAUAAGUUGAG
rnacentral:misc_RNA from 1 species